rnacentral:rRNA from 1 species
AUUGAACGCUGGCGGCAGGCCUAACACAUGCAAGUCGAGCGGAGCGGCGGACGGGUGCGUAAUGCUUAGGAAUCUGACUGGUAGUGGGGGAUAACGUCCGGAAACGGGCGCUGAUACCGCAUCCUCUCAGAUGAGGCUAGGCCGGAUUAGCUAGUGGGUGGGGUAAAGGCCAACCAAGGCGACGACCCGUAACUGGUCUGAGAGGAUGAUCAGUCACACUGGAACUGAGACACGGUCCAGACUCCUACGGGAGGCAGCAGGGGGGAAUAUUGGACAAUGGGCGAAAGCCUGAUACAGCCAUGCCGCGUGUAUGAAGAAGGUCUUCGGGUUGUAAAGGACUUUAAGGUGGGAGGCGGUACCAACAGAAGAAGCACCGGCUAACUUCGUGCCAGCAGCCGCGGUAAUUC